AGUAAGGUGCCUGAAAAAAAGGACAAUUUUGAUAGAAUUGAUUAUGUGGCCCCCCACUCUUACUA
rnacentral:tRNA from 1 species